rnacentral:rRNA from 1 species
CAGUAGCCGCGGGAAUACGUAGGGUGCGAGCGUUAAUCGGAAUUACUGGGCGUAAAGCGUGCGUAGGCGGUUCGUUAAGUCUGUUGUGAAAGCCCCGGGCUCAACCUGGGAAUGGCAAUGGAUACUGGCGAGCUAGAGUGUGUCAGAGGAUGGUGGAAUUCCCGGUGUAGCGGUGAAAUGCGUAGAGAUCGGGAGGAACAUCAGUGGCGAAGGCGGCCAUCUGGGACAACACUGACGCUGAGGCACGAAAGCGUGGGGAGCAAACAGGAUUAGAUACCCCUGUAGUCCCUGUCUCUUAUAC